rnacentral:rRNA from 1 species
UACGUAGGGUGCAAGCGUUUAAUCGGAAUUACUGGGCGUAAAGCGUGCGCAGGCGGUUUUGUAAGUCUGUCGUGAAAUCCCCGGGCUCAACCUGGGGAAUGGCGAUGGAGACUGCAAGGCUAGAAUCUGGCAGAGGGGGGGUAGAAUUCCACGUGUGAGCAGUGAAAAUGCGUAGAUAUGUGGGAGGAACACCGAUGGCGAAGGCAGCCCCCUGGGCUAAGAUUGACCGCUCAUGCACGAAAGCGUGGGGGAGCAAACAGG